rnacentral:rRNA from 1 species
GGUUAAGCGACUAAGCGUACACGGUGGAUGCCCUGGCAGUCAGAGGCGAUGAAGGACGUGCUAAUCUGCGAUAAGCGUCGGUGAGGUGAUAUGAACCGUUAUAACCGGCGAUUUCCGAAUGGGGAAACCCAGUGUGUUUCGACACACUAUCAUUAACUGAAUCCAUAGGUUAAUGAGGCGAACCGGGGGAACUGAAACAUCUAAGUACCCCGAGGAAAAGAAAUCAACCGAGAUUCCCCCAGUAGCGGCGAGCGAACGGGGAGGAGCCCAGAGCCUGAAUCAGUGUGUGUGUUAGUGGAAGCGUCUGGAAAGGCGCGCGAUACAGGGUGACAGCCCCGUACACAAAAAUGCACAUAUUGUGAGCUCGAUGAGUAGGGCGGGACACGUGGUAUCCUGUCUGAAUAUGGGGGGACCAUCCUCCAAGGCUAAAUACUCCUGACUGACCGAUAGUGAACCAGUACCGUGAGGGAAAGGCGAAAAGAACCCCGGCGAGGGGAGUGAAAAAGAACCUGAAACCGUGUACGUACAAGCAGUGGGAGCCUCUUUAUGGGGUGACUGCGUACCUUUUGUAUAAUGGGUCAGCGACUUAUAUUCUGUAGCAAGGUUAACCGAAUAGGGGAGCCGAAGGGAAACCGAGUCUUAACUGGGCGUUAAGUUGCAGGGUAUAGACCCGAAACCCGGUGAUCUAGCCAUGGGCAGGUUGAAGGUUGGGUAACACUAACUGGAGGACCGAACCGACUAAUGUUGAAAAAUUAGCGGAUGACUUGUGGCUGGGGGUGAAAGGCCAAUCAAACCGGGAGAUAGCUGGUUCUCCCCGAAAGCUAUUUAGGUAGCGCCUCGUGAAUUCAUCUCCGGGGGUAGAGCACUGUUUCGGCAAGGGGGUCAUCCCGACUUACCAACCCGAUGCAAACUGCGAAUACCGGAGAAUGUUAUCACGGGAGACACACGGCGGGUGCUAACGUCCGUCGUGAAGAGGGAAACAACCCAGACCGCCAGCUAAGGUCCCAAAGUCAUGGUUAAGUGGGAAACGAUGUGGGAAGGCCCAGACAGCCAGGAUGUUGGCUUAGAAGCAGCCAUCAUUUAAAGAAAGCGUAAUAGCUCACUGGUCGAGUCGGCCUGCGCGGAAGAUGUAACGGGGCUAAACCAUGCACCGAAGCUGCGGCAGCGACACUAUGUGUUGUUGGGUAGGGGAGCGUUCUGUAAGCCUGUGAAGGUGGCCUGUGAGGGUUGCUGGAGGUAUCAGAAGUGCGAAUGCUGACAUAAGUAACGAUAAAGCGGGUGAAAAGCCCGCUCGCCGGAAGACCAAGGGUUCCUGUCCAACGUUAAUCGGGGCAGGGUGAGUCGACCCCUAAGGCGAGGCCGAAAGGCGUAGUCGAUGGGAAACAGGUUAAUAUUCCUGUACUUGGUGUUACUGCGAAGGGGGGACGGAGAAGGCUAUGUUGGCCGGGCGACGGUUGUCCCGGUUUAAG